CAUUGGCCGGGGUCCGGUCGUACAAUCUAAACGAAUCCCGGUUGGCUAAACAUUUGAAUUUUUUUACAUAAGGUGGGCACGUAAAAGAAAUUGGAGAGGGCGGGGAAGGGGUGUCUGUCAUGAGCUAGAAAGUUAGUCUUCUUUCCAAAUAAGGAAAGGAAUGUGAGCUGGUACUGAUAACCCCUGGUACUGUGGUGUGCCUGGGCAUCUAACAAAGGCAAAAAGGAGAAAAAGGGGUACUAUGAAUUAAAGAAUAAAAGAUGGAUCAGAUUAUUUGAAGAGAAACCUCAUCAUAUCCCACAACGGGAACAGGAAAAAAAAAACACACAAUACAUUUUAGAGAAGUGGCAAGACAAAGGAAAGCAGGUUUAGGCUCCCAAAGGAGGGACCUCUGAGAAGUUACCUCCACGAAGCAGCUCGGCUGGUGCCAGAGAGAACAUCGGUACAGGUCUGGGAAUUU
rnacentral:lncRNA from 10 species